UAACUCCUGGGGUGCUCGCCAGUUGGCAAAAUCCCUGAGCCGAUAAGUGUAACCCCGGAGGUUACUCGUCCGUGUUGGUGUGCAUGUCCGCGAGACGGAAAGCCUAAUGCAUGGCAGUAUCCUCCCCCUUGAACCGUCGGUGUUCAAGGUAACGUCGACAGCGGCAUUCCCGGGGCUCCA
rnacentral:other from 1 species